UAGGGAAUCUUCCACAAUGGGCGCAAGCCUGAUGGAGCAACACCGCGUGAGUGAAGAAGGGUUUCGGCUCGUAAAGCUCUGUUGUUAAAGAAGAACACGUAUGAGAGUAACUGUUCAUACGUUGACGGUAUUUAACCAGAAAGUCACGGCUAACUACGUGCCNG
rnacentral:rRNA from 1 species